AGUGUUGCCGUUCCGAAACCGAGCAUCUGAGGAAAGUGCUGGCGAAGACAAGACAGCGACACGUUUGACAAUAGCGGUUUCCACUUGACAGUUUCUUCCGGGAGACGAUAACGUGCAAGCUAGUCAUGCCUUAUAUUUUUGUCAGCUCUGAGCUUCCCCUGGAAACUGGACCUACAACAGUGGGAGACACAACAUCCGAUAGAGAUUUAAUGCAAGCGCUUGGAGCAAAACUAGGAUAUGUCCGGGGAAACAACCAGCGUGUGUACUUUGUGGAAAACCGACCCCGGGAGGUCCUGGACAAGCUGGAGCUGUGUGGUUACCGGAUGCUGAGCACGAGCGUAAUGGCUAAUACCAUAAUGGUGUGGUGCCUGUACAAGGAGGCUGCCAGCUUUCCCUCUUUACAGUGACUGUGGAUGCUUUCAGCCCCCAGUAACUGAUUCAACAUCAGUUUACCAACCCCUAAUCCAAACCCCAUACUUUAUUUCAGCCAAAUGUGAAAACUAAUGCUAGAUAGGUUCUGCCACCAAAAACUGGUCUACACCCCUAACACAAGAGAUUGGAGCUCCCAGGAUCAACCACAGAACUGCAGCCUAGGGUGGGAGGGAGUGUAGGAAGAGGUCAGACAUUCCUGAUUUUAAAGCUUGCCAAAAAUGACUUGGUUUGUUUGCAUGCUUGUUUUCCAUAAUAAUUACAUAAAUUCAUUAAGGUGCCUGUAACAAUGCACUUGUUUUCUGUGUAUUCACAUUAACUGUUGAAAUAAGGGUCCAGGCUGGGCUCAGGAGUACUUGGCAGCAAUGCUGGAAGAGCUGAAUUAGAUUUUUCUCCAGAAACAUCUUUACCUUUCAGCUGAUGUUAGAGAUGCAUGUCCCGCAUUCAAGAACAGAGAACUAAGCAAAUUAAAAUGGCAAAUGCAUAGAGAAUAGGAAGACCAACUGCACCAUGUUCCAGAAUGGUGGGAAUUAAAGGUAAAAAACUGAAAAGAAUGAAAGAAACAUGCUGUUUAUCAGCAUGGUGGAGUUGACAUUGUUGGGCCAGCAGGGGGUACUCCAAUCACAAUAAAUCCAGUGCCACAGCACUGUGGAUACCAUUCUUCAGAUGAAACAUUCAUCAGAGGCCCUAGCCUGCCGUCAUUUAUGAUUUAUUUCCACAGGUCGUUGCUAUGAAAGUGAACUGGGUUCUCAGCCUGCCCUCCUGCUGAAAUAAAUGAAAUGUCCUGAUCAAGAUCUGUCAGACUUGCA